CUGGUGGCCCAAUGGUUAAGUGAUCAGUUGCUAACUGAAAGUUUGUUGGUUCAAACCAACCCAG
rnacentral:tRNA from 1 species